GAAGAAGAGCCUUCAUCGUCAUCAUCAUCGUCACACGGAGGGGGGCAGCGCGGGGAGAGCCUUCGGCUAGAGCCUUCCUCCCCUCCUCCUCCUCCUCCUCCUCCUCCUCCUCAUCAUCAUCAUCCUCAUCUUCAUCUUCAUCAUCACCAUCAGAAGAAGAAGAGCCUUCAUCAUCAUCUUCAUCAUCGUCGUCGUCAUCAUCAUCAUCUUCAUCAUCUUCAUCAUCUUCAUCAUCUUCAUCAUCAAUAUUGGAAGAGCCUUCAUCAUCAUCAUCAUCAUCAUCAUCAUCAUCAUCACACGGAGAGGGGCGGUAUGGGGGGGGGAGCCUUCAUCGUCAUCGGCUAGAGCCUUCCUCCCCCCCCCAUCAUCAUCAUCAUCCUCAUCUUCAUCAUCAUCAUCAUCAGAAGAAGAAGAAGAAGAAGAAGAAGAAGAAGAAGAAGAAGAGCCUUCAUCAUCAUCAUCAUCGUCAUCGGUGUUGGAAGAGCCCCGGGGUGGUCGGCGGGGUGAUGAAGAGCGGCCAUCAUCAUCAUCAUCAUCAUCUUCAUCAUCAUCAUCAUCGUCAUUAUUGGAAGAGCCUUCAUCGUCAUCAUCAUCAUCAUCUUCACCUUCAUCAUAAUCAUCUUCAUCAUCAUCUUCAUCAUCUUCAUCAUCGUCAUUGGAAGAGCCUUCAUCUUCAUCAUCAUCAUCAUCAUCAUCAUCAAUAUUGGAAGAGCCUUCAUCAUCAUCAUCAUCAUCAUCAUCAUCGUCGUUGGAAGAGCCUUCAUCAUCAUCAUCAUCGUCAACGGUGUUGGAAGAGCCCCGGGGUUGUCGGCGGGGUGAUGAAGAUCUCCAUCAUCAUCAUCAUCAUGGGAAGAGCCUUCAUCAUCAUCAUCAUCAUCAUCAUCAUCAUCAUCAUCAGAAGAAGAAGAAGAAGAGCCUUCAUCAUCAUCAUCAUCGUCAACGUCAAGGUUUUGAAGAGCCCGCCCAGUGUUGGAAGAGCCCCGGGGUCGUCGGCGGGGUGAUGAAGAUCUCCAUCAUCAUCAUCAUCAUCGUCAGAAGAGCCUUCAUCAUCAUCAUCAUCAUCAUCAUCAUCAUCAUCAGAAGAAGAAGAAGAAGAAGAAGAAGAGCCUUCAUCGUCAUCAUCAUCAUCGGUGUUGGAAGAGCCCCGGGGUUGUCGGCGGGAUGAUGAAGAUCUCCAUCAUCAUCAUCGUCAUCAGAAGAGCCUUCGUCGUCAUCAUCAUCAUCAUCUUCAUCACUGUCACUAUUGGAAGAGCCUUCAUCAU
rnacentral:lncRNA from 1 species